rnacentral:rRNA from 1 species
ACGGCUCAGUAACACGUCGAUAAUCUGCCCUUAGGUUUGGGAUAACCUCGGGAAACUGAGGCUAAACCCAGAUAGAGGAUUAUUUCUGGAAAGAUUUUUCCUUUAAAAGUAAUGCCUAAGGAUGAGUUGGCGGCUGAUUAGGUUGUUGGUGGUGUAACGGACCACCAAGCCGAAGAUCAGUAGGAGUCUUGAGAGAGAUCGCUCCGAGAAGGGCACUGAGACACAGGCCCUAGCCCUACGGGGUGCAGCAGCCGCGAAACCUUUACAAUGCACGAAAGUGUGAUAAGGUAACUCUGAGUGCUUACCUUUUGGUAGGCUUUUGCCAAGAGUAAAUACCUUGGCGAAUAAGUGGUGGGUAAGACUGGUGCCAGCCGCCGCGGUAACACCAGCGCCACAAGUGGGAAUCGUAUUUAUUGGGCCUAAAGCGUCCGUAGCCGGUUUAACAAAUCUUUUGUGAAAUCGUUAAUUUGAAUUUAACGGCGUGCAAGAGAGACUGUUAAACUUGGGACCAGGAGGAGUCAGAAGUAUUUUCGAGGUAGCGGUAAAAUGUUAUAAUCUCGGAAGGACUACCGGUGGCGAAGGCGUCUGACUAGAAUGGAUCCGACGGUGAGGGACGAAAGCCAGGGGAGCAAUCCGGAUUAGAUACCCGAGUAGUCCUGGCUGUAAACUCUGCGAGCUAGGUGUUGCAUAUUCUCCGUGAAUAUGCAGUAUCGAAGCGAAGGUGAUAAGCUCGCCGCCUGGGAAGUAUGGUCGCAAGACUGAAACUUAAAGGAAUUGGCGGGGGAG